GAUGAACGCUGGCGGCGUGCUUAACACAUGCAAGUCGAACGAAACACCUUAUUUGAUUUUCUUCGGAACUGAAGAUUUGGUGAUUGAGUGGCGGACGGGUGAGUAACGCGUGGGUAACCUACCUUGUACAGGGGGAUAACAGUCAGAAAUGACUGCUAAUACCGCAUAAGACCACGGCACCGCAUGGUGCAGGGGUAAAAACUCCGGUGGUACAAGAUGGACCCGCGUCUGAUUAGCUGGUUGGUGAGGUAACGGCUCACCAAGGCGACGAUCAGUAGCCGGCUUGAGAGAGUGAACGGCCACAUUGGGACUGAGACACGGCCCAAACUCCUACGGGAGGCAGCAGUGGGGAAUAUUGCACAAUGGGGGAAACCCUGAUGCAGCGACGCCGCGUGAGUGAAGAAGUAUCUCGGUAUGUAAAGCUCUAUCAGCAGGGAAGAAA
rnacentral:rRNA from 1 species